GCAGUCGAACGAACUCUGGUAUUGAUUGGUGCUUGCAUCAUGAUUUACAUUUGAGUGAGUGGCGAACUGGUGAGUAACACGUGGGAAACCUGCCCAGAAGCGGGGGAUAACACCUGGAAACAGAUGCUAAUACCGCAUAACAACUUGGACCGCAUGGUCCGAGUUUGAAAGAUGGCUUCGGCUAUCACUUUUGGAUGGUCCCGCGGCGUAUUAGCUAGAUGGUGGGGUAACGGCUCACCAUGGCAAUGAUACGUAGCCGACCUGAGAGGGUAAUCGGCCACAUUGGGACUGAGACACGGCCCAAACUCCUACGGGAGGCAGCAGUAGGGAAUCUUCCACAAUGGACGAAAGUCUGAUGGAGCAACGCCGCGUGAGUGAAGAAGGGUUUCGGCUCGUAAAACUCUGUUGUUAAAGAAGAACAUAUCUGAGAGUAACUGUUCAGGUAUUGACGGUAUUUAACCAGAAAGCCACGGCUAACUACGUGCCAGCAGCCGCGGUAAUACGUAGGUGGCAAGCGUUGUCCGGAUUUAUUGGGCGUAAAGCGAGCGCAGGCGGUUUUUUAAGUCUGAUGUGAAAGCCUUCGGCUCAACCGAAGAAGUGCAUCGGAAACUGGGAAACUUGAGUGCAGAAGAGGACAGUGGAACUCCAUGUGUAGCGGUGAAAUGCGUAGAUAUAUGGAAGAACACCAGUGGCGAAGGCGGCUGUCUGGUCUGUAACUGACGCUGAGGCUCGAAAGUAUGGGUAGCAAACAGGAUUAGAUACCCUGGUAGUCCAUACCGUAAACGAUGAAUGCUAAGUGUUGGAGGGUUUCCGCCCUUCAGUGCUGCAGCUAACGCAUUAAGCAUUCCGCCUGGGGAGUACGGCCGCAAGGCUGAAACUCAAAGGAAUUGACGGGGGCCCGCACAAGCGGUGGAGCAUGUGGUUUAAUUCGAAGCUACGCGAAGAACCUUACCAGGUCUUGACAUACUAUGCAAAUCUAAGAGAUUAGACGUUCCCUUCGGGGACAUGGAUACAGGUGGUGCAUGGUUGUCGUCAGCUCGUGUCGUGAGAUGUUGGGUUAAGUCCCGCAACGAGCGCAACCCUUAUUAUCAGUUGCCAGCAUUAAGUUGGGCACUCUGGUGAGACUGCCGGUGACAAACCGGAGGAAGGUGGGGAUGACGUCAAAUCAUCAUGCCCCUUAUGACCUGGGCUACACACGUGCUACAAUGGAUGGUACAACGAGUUGCGAACUCGCGAGAGUAAGCUAAUCUCUUAAAGCCAUUCUCAGUUCGGAUUGUAGGCUGCAACUCGCCUACAUGAAGUCGGAAUCGCUAGUAAUCGCGGAUCAGCAUGCCGCGGUGAAUACGUUCCCGGGCCUUGUACACACCGCCCGUCACACCAUGAGAGUUUGUAACACCCAAAGUCGGUGGGGUAACCUUUUAGAACCAGC
rnacentral:rRNA from 2 species